AGUCUGCAACUCGACUCCAUGAAGUCGGAAUCGCUAGUAAUCGUGGAUCAGAAUGCCACGGUGAAUACGUUCCCGGGCCUUGUACACACCGCCCGUCACACCAUGGGAGUGGGUUGCAAAAGAAGUAGGUAGCUUAACCUUCGGGAAGGCGCUUACCACUUUGUGAUUCAUGACUGGGGUGAAGUCGUAACAAGGUAACCGUAGGGGAACCUGCGGUUGGAUCACCUCCUUACCUUAAAGAAGC
rnacentral:rRNA from 1 species